ACUUGACAACGGAGAGGGUCGUCCGAUAGAUUUGAGUGCAAAUCCCUCAUCUUUCAAUUUUGAACUUUGAUUAUUUUUCUAACCCUAACUCUUUUUCCUCUCAUUUUUAUAUAAUUUUGGGCUACAUUAAAAUUACAUAAUUGCAGGACGGUAUAUUUUCUAUAUGCUUAAAACAUGCCUUAAUUUAGGUGGGAUAUUUUAUAAUUGCCGACGGUAUUUCAAUUUGCAAUGGCUUAUAGUGAGCCUAGCUACUUUGCUUUUUUUGCGCCACAAAAAGAAAAAAAGAAUAGCCUACUUUUAUAGAACUUUCAUCCCAAUACUGAUUAUGAAGUUGUAAUAAAUUAAUUAUAUAGCCUACUGCAGAAAUGUUUAUAUUGCUUUAUAUGGACAUAUCCUUUGGCAAAGAGAUGGAUGCAUUCUGGGAAUUGAUAUGUGUUUAAAUGUAAUGGCUACAUACUCGUGUUUCCUUCACUUCGACAUUUACGCUGACCCCUUUGAAAUUUUGAGCACGGAUAUAAAAUAUUAAGACUGUACUUUUUAAUUAUUAUUGAUAUUUUGGCGCAAUUUUGUGCAGUACGUCACUGUGUGCGACCAUCGCAGACACCAUUGCCCAGCGCGAUUCCACCACGAUCCUGUCAAACAUAUCACCUGUCGAACCUAUCCAAACCUUAUUUUCAAAACCCAAAGGCACUUUUAAGAGCCAACCUCUAUCUCUUCAUUAUUUUCGAUAUCUUACAUCCUCUCUGUUCUCUCACUAUCUAUAUUUCUGUCCAUCUCUUCAAUCUUUAUCUAUCUCACAGUCAUCUAUUGCUCUUUCUUUCCUCCCUGUCUGUCUUUGUCUACUUGUCUGUCUUACCCAUCUUUGUCUGUCUGUCUGUAUCUGACUGUCUGUCUGUCUGUCUGUAUCUGACUGCAUUGCAAUGGCCACCAGGCAUAAACUUGAUUCAAAAGAUCCCCACUACCAAGAGGGGAAACGCAUGGCUCUGGAGCUGAAACAUGAACACAUUCUAGCUGAAGCCAAGAGAGCAGCUGAUGAGAGGAAACGUGUACGAGACCCUCCACACACCUCUAAAAGGGACUCUGUAGGACGUGGUAAGCCGAGGGGAGGCGAGGAGGGCGACGCCAAGCCUCCGCUACAGCCACAUACCCCACGGUUGAGUGCUCCCUGUCAUCAAGUGUGGAGGUUCCACUUACUGCAACCUCAACAAAACUAAAUCCUCAAGAGGAAUUUGAAAAAAAUAUGGAGAGGCUCUCUGAUAUUUUGGCGUCAUGUCCUUCUGCUGCUCAGCCUCAAAGUAGCUCUGCAUCAUCAUGGUCUUUUCGGCAGCAGAAAGCCUCAGA